UACGAAGGGGGCUAGCGUUGUUCGGAAUCACUGGGCGUAAAGGGCGCGUAGGCGGCUUUGUAAGUCGGGGGUGAAAGCCUGUGGCUCAACCACAGAAUUGCCUUCGAUACUGCAUGGCUUGAGACCAGAAGAGGUAAGUGGAACUGCGAGUGUAGAGGUGAAAUUCGUAGAUAUUCGCAAGAACACCAGUGGCGAAGGCGGCUUACUGGUCCGGUUCUGACGCUGAGGUGCGAAAGCGUGGGGAGCAAACAGG
rnacentral:rRNA from 1 species